AAGGGCUCGUAGGCGGUUUGUCGCGUCGGGAGUGAAAACGCCGUGCUUAACACGGCGCUUGCUUCCGAUACGGGCAGACUAGAGGUAUUCAGGGGAGAACGGAAUUCCUGGUGUAGCGGUGAAAUGCGCAGAUAUCAGGAGGAACACCGGUGGCGAAGGCGGUUCUCUGGGAAUGACCUGACGCUGAGGAGCGAAAGUGUGGGGAGCGAACAGGAUUAGAUACCCUGGUAGUCCACACCGUAAACGUUGGGCGCUAGGUGUGGGGUCCAUUCCACGGAUUCCGUGCCGCAGCUAACGCAUUAAGCGCCCCGCCUGGGGAGUACGGCCGCAAGGCUAAAACUCAAAGGAAUUGACGGGGGCCCGCACAAGCGGCGGAGCAUGCGGAUUAAUUCGAUGCAACGCGAAGAACCUUACCUGGGUUUGACAUACACCCUGCCGCCUCAGAGAUGGGGCUUCUUUUGGGGGUGUACAGGUGGUGCAUGGCUGUCGUCAGCUCGUGUCGUGAGAUGUUGGGUUAAGUCCCGCAACGAGCGCAACCCUCGUUCUAUGUUGCCAGCACGUAAUGGUGGGGACUCAUAGGAGACUGCCGGGGUCAACUCGGAGGAAGGUGGGGAUGACGUCAAGUCAUCAUGCCCCUUAUGUCCAGGGCUUCACGCAUGCUACAAUGGCCGGUACAAAGGGCUGCGAUCCCGUAAGGGGGAGCGAAUCCCAAAAAGCCGGUCUCAGUCGGAUUGGGGUCUGCAACUCGACCCCAUGAAGUCGGAGUCGCUAGUAAUCGCAGAUCAGCAACGCUGCGGUGAAUACGUUCCCGGGCCUUGUACACACCGCCCGUCAC
rnacentral:rRNA from 1 species